UGCAGUUGACGCUUCUUUCUUAUCGAACUUCGGUUCACCAAGNAAGAAGAGUAGCGAACGGGUGAGUAACACGUGGGUAACCUGCCCAUCAGCGGGGGAUAACACUUGGAAACAGGUGCUAAUACCGCAUAAUACUUUUUCUCUCAUGAGUGAAAGUUGAAAGGCGCUUUUGCGUCACUGAUGGAUGGACCCGCGGUGCAUUAGCUAGUUGGUAGGGUAACGGCCUACCAAGGCAACGAUGCAUAGCCGACCUGAGAGGGUGAUCGGCCACACUGGGACUGAGACACGGCCCAGACUCCUACGGGAGGCAGCAGUAGGGAAUCUUCGGCAAUGGACGAAAGUCUGACCGAGCAACGCCGCGUGAGUGAAGAAGGUUUUCGGAUCGUAAAACUCUGUUGUUAGAGAAGAACAAGGAUGAGAAGAGAAUGUUCAUCCCUUGACGGUAUCUAACCAGAAAGCCACGGCUAACUACGUGCCAGCAGCCGCGGUAAUACGUA
rnacentral:rRNA from 1 species